AUUGAUCGGAAAAAUAUACAAAGAGUGAUCACCAAUAGUUACAAUGAUUUUUUUUAAAAUUGUAAUGAUUUUUAUAAAUAGUUGUAAAACCUCAUCUAAUAAUAGCAAUGAUUCAUUUAAAUAGUUUUAUCCAUUAAAUCUACAACAGACCAUUCUAUAUUCUCACAAUUAAAUUACCGGUUUUGCCUAAAUAUGAUGAUUUUGUUCAAGAUCGUUGGAAUUUGAACAAUAUCCUACUGAAUAGUGUUUAUUUAUCUUUAAUUAUCACAUAAAUUUGUUUACUAUGGUACUGUAUAUUAGCGACAACUGUUUGAAAGUGAGAUUCACAUUUUUCAAUAGUUUAAAACUAUCUUGACAAUUUUAUUAUUUUCAAAUUGUUAAGAUAUUAUGAUUAAAAUUUGAUUUGAGAGCGUUUUGAAAUAUGAAUUUAGGAGAGAUGUUGUACAAAUUGUAAUAUACAGAGUUAAAAAAUAUUAGUUUUAAAAGAUGCAAUUUUCAAGUAAAAAUGAAGUUAUAAAAGAAAAAACAUAUAAUUUAUAGUCAAAAUACAUAAUCUUCAAUAACAUUAGUGAAGUAAGAUUUAAUAAAAAAAAACACAUUUGUAAAAAUCAUUUGUUGGGAUUCUAUAAUUGUGUUUGCCCGUUCAUAAUUCAAAAGCAUAAAAUAUACACUAAUACAUAGGUGCAAUAUAAAAAUGAGAGUUAUUAUAUUUAUAUUUGUAAUUUACUAAACUUUUUUUUUUGGUAAAAUAAUUUACUAAUUUAUAACAUUAUAAAUAUUUUUCCUAGAAACUCACCGAUGAAGUCUCCCACUUCUUUUUCAAGUCC
rnacentral:lncRNA from 1 species